rnacentral:rRNA from 1 species
UACGGAGGGGGCUAGCGUUUGUUCGGAAUUACUGGGCGUAAAGCGCACGUAGGCGGCUUUGUAAGUUAGAGGUGAAAGCCCGGGGCUCAACCCCGGAACAGCCUUUAAGACUGCAUCGCUUGAACGUCGGAGAGGUGAGUGGAAUUCCGAGUGUAGAGGUGAAAUUCGUAGAUAUUCGGAAGAACACCAGUGGCGAAGGCGGCUCACUGGACGACUGUUGACGCUGAGGUGCGAAAGCGUGGGGAGCAAACAGG